rnacentral:rRNA from 1 species
CCCUUAGAUGUUCUGGGCCGCACGCGUGCUACACUGAGUAAUUCAAUGGGUAAGGGAACGCUGGAGCAUUACCUAAUCUUGAAAUUUGCUCGUGAUGGGGAUCGACGGUUGCAAUUUUCCGUCGUGAACGAGGAAUACCUUGUAGGCGCAUGUCAUCAUCAUGCGCCGAAUACGUCCCUGCCCUUUGUACACACCGCCCGUCGCUCCUACCGAUUGAGUGAUCCGGUGAGGCUCUGGGACCUGGACGGAAAGAGCGUUUCGCUUGUUCUGUUUGGGAAACUUGGUCGAACCUUAUCAUUUAGAGGAAGGAGAAGUCGUAACA